rnacentral:lncRNA from 1 species
AAAUUUAGUAGCAACGUGUUUGCAGUGGGGGAAUAAGUGUCAUGUCGUCUCCAGCACUUCUCGGCUGACUUUAAACUCUUCUCUCUCCCUCUCUCCACCUCCUCUCUCUCUCUCUCUCUCUCUCUCUUUCUCUGUGUAAACUCGGAGCGCAGCGCGGACCUCUUUUUGUCCACAGUGACUGGACGGAGCGGGACACACGGGCAGACAGAGAGCGCGCAGUCCGCGCUGCCUCUCCACAGUUUGACAUCCACGUUGAGUUCAUCAGCGCUGGAGAUGACUCGGACCUGUCUGUGGACGACUGGGGUCAUUCUUCUUCUCGCUGGUGUUAUGGAGAACAAAGGCAGCAGCAGAAGAAAAGUAAGCACCGCAUUGCCAUCAACUUGAUGAGCAGAGAGAAGCUGUCCAAGCUGCAGACAUGAGCUGACAACUUAAUGGCUACAACCUUGAUUUUCCAUCUAGCUUUCUUUCUUUUCUGUUCUGUUCUGUUAAAUGUUGAGUGCAGAAUUUUGUACCUAAUUCCAG